AGCGGCAGACGGGUGAGUAACGCGUGGGAAUCUACCCGGAACUACGGAAUAACAUGAAGAAAUUUAUGCUAAUACCGUAUACGCCCUUUUGGGGAAAGAUUUAUUGGUUUCGGAUGAGCCCGCGUUGGAUUAGCUUGUUGGUAGGGUAAUGGCCUACCAAGGCGACGAUCCAUAGCUGGUCUGAGAGGAUGAUCAGCCACACUGGGACUGAGACACGGCCCAGACUCCUACGGGAGGCAGCAGUGGGGAAUAUUGGACAAUGGGCGCAAGCCUGAUCCAGCCAUGCCGCGUGAGUGAUGAAGGCCUUAGGGUUGAAAAGCUCUUUCACCGGUGAAGAUAAUGACGGUAACCGGAGAAGAAGCCCCGGCUAACUUCGUGCCAGCAGCCGCGGUAAUACGAAGGGGGCUAGCGUUGUUCGGAUUUACUGGGCGUAAAGCGCACGCAGGCGGAUAUUUAAGUCAGANGUGAAAUCCCGGGGCUCAACCCUGGAAUUGCCUUUGAUACUGGGUAUCUGGAGUACAGAAGANGUAAGUGGAAUUCCGAGUGUAGAGGUGAAAUUCGUAGAUAUUCGGANGAACACCNGUGGCGAA
rnacentral:rRNA from 2 species